CUAAGAGCCAUUAAAGAGCUCUGCUAUUGAAGGAAGAAAAAUAUCUUUAGUACAGAGGAAAUCCAUACACUGGGAUACAUUCAUCUAUUCAUCCCAUAAUUAGUGGUGCGUGCUUACUAAGCUGCACUCUCCACCCAUUGGCUUGUGCUGUGUAGCGCACUGGUUCCGGUUGGGUCAUUAAGAUUCGCGCCAGCCAAGAGAGUGUUUGUGGUGGAAAAAAAUCCACCAAAGGUGUGAGAUGGUGUCAAUCGAGUGCUUUAUUCAACACAAUGCAGAGACAACCCCAUUACAAUUCCAUCAAUAUGACCU